rnacentral:rRNA from 1 species
GAUGAACGCUAGCUACAGGCUUAACACAUGCAAGUCGAGGGGCCGGCGCACGGGUGAGUAACACGUAUCCAACCUGCCCUUUACUCGGGGAUAGCCUUUCGAAAGAAAGAUUAAUACGCGAUAUAAAGGAUGGGGAUGCGUUCCAUUAGGUGGUUGGUGAGGUAACGGCCCACCAAGCCUUCGAUGGCUAGGGGUUCUGAGAGGAACGUCCCCCACAUUGUAACUGAGACACGGUCCACACUCCUACGGGACGCAGCAGUGAGGAAUAUUGGUCAAGGGGCUUUAGCCUGACCCAGCCAAGUAGCGUGAAGGAUGAAGGCUUAUGGGUCGUAAACUUCUUUUAUAUAAGAAUAUGUAUUAUAUGAAUAAGGAUCGGCUAACUCCGUGCCAGCCGCCGCGGUAAUAC